AGAGCUUGCAGAGCUUUUCCAUGUCCUUUUUGGCGCCGAUGGCUGUCAUCCAGGAGAGCGCCCAGUAGCAGGAGAACGCUGACACCAGGGCAAGAAAUGAGGCUGGAGCCGGUGCUGGAAUAGAUCAGGAGGCCUGCAGUGGUUCUGGGGCAGUUCUGUCACAAGAAGCAACAGUGCACACCCAGAAAAAUAGCUCAAGGCAAGGUCACCUUUAAUACUGAAGCAUUCAGUGAAUAUGACCAGCAGAGACCCCUCUUAAUGAAUCUGCAGGACCAUCAAAAGACUUCCAGGAGGAGGUCACCGGCGAGCCCGGGACAAGACCUGAGCCAGAACUUGUUGGGCCCUUGCAGAGAGAGAAGCAGUAAAUGGUGUUGGAGAGUUUUUGGGAGUGCUGUCGGUGAGUCUUGUUUGGUGCUGUCCCUUUGUUCCUGGGGGGCACUGGCGGAGCGCGCUGGGGCCGCGCCACAUCGGUGCCCAGCUGGGCGCAGGCGCUUGCCCCUUGCCAGCCCUGGUGGGUGAGAGCUGCACCUACCCUGCUGCUGGCAGAGGAGGCAGAGCUGGGCCAGGGCAGCUCCUCCGCUGCGUGGGUGCAGAACUCGCGGGUUCCUCUCUCUCCCCGGGGCGCUCCGGCUGCUGCAGCUCUUUGGCCCAGGCCCCUGAGAGGCGCUGGGCUAUUGCUGGCCCAUGGCUCCCAGAGGUGCCCGUGUGUGGAGGGCCAGGGCGCUGUGCUGGGUCCGGGCAAGGUUUUGGCUGUGACAUGGCCGGUGCCCGUGAGAUGGGGGUGAACUCUCAGCACAGGAGUUCAUUGGGUUAGUUGUUUGUCUGAGGAAAAUGUCCACUGAAUUAGUUGGAGCCCUCAGAUUUCGAUGAACCUUUUUUCUAGAGUUAAUGACUUCAUAGAAGUAAACCAAGUAAUUGAAUCAGUGUGGCACAAAUUUCAGGAGCAGUUUGGGAUAUGCAGCUGCACCUGAUUAUGUUGGGCAGGCUGGUGGGAAGGGCUUUCUCCCAGGCCUGGGCAUCCUCAAGACACCUCAAGGAUGUUUUUUAAACGUUUGUUGUCUUUUGUUUCCCAGCCCAGGGCCAAGCUGGAGAAAAGGUAGAGAGAGUGGCAAGUGGGAGUCCCAUGUUUAGAUCUGCCUUUGGAUUCCAGUUCCUCCCGGGGGGCCUGUGCUGCUCAAAGUACAAAGGAAGGAGAUGUUGGAGUACCUGUUUGUUCCCCUGUGGAGCUUGGAAGAGAUGCUGAGGAUGAAAUUCCAGGGAAGCUGCGCUUGCAGAGCGACUGGAGUGCGAAGCAGUGGCAGCUGUUUGCCGUGGGCUGGUUUCCCCCCUUCACUUGGGUUCCCUGCUGCUCCUGGUAAUCCCUCAGCACCUUUGCUUUUGCAAGUGCUUUGCUGAAGGGUUUCUGAAUGUGGCAGUGAGCUUCUCUGUUCCUGUUUAUAUGGAGGAUCUGUUUCAGGAAAUGUCUCCUUAUCUGGAUGGAUUCACAAGUUCCUGUCACAGGUUAAUUGCAGUAAAGAAAAGGAAAAGAAGCCAAUAGCCUGGACUGGGAUGCCCCAGGCCCCUGCUGAGCACAGGGGUUGUUGCUGGGUGUUUAUUCUCCAGUCCUGUGUGCUCAGGCCUUGUUAUGAACUGCUCAGCCAUAAAUGCCACUGCAGGAAGAACAGGAAA